AGUGGUGUUAGAAAUUAUGAGUGUCUGGAAUGUGGAAAGAAAUUCACCACAAAGUCUGAUCUCACCACACACACCCUGACACACAGUGGUGUUAGAAAUUAUGAGUGUGAGGAGUGUGGCAAGAAAUUCUUCACCAUUGGUGCUCUCAACAGACACGCUUUCAGACACACUGGCUUGAGGGAGUUCAAGUGUGAUGUUUGUGGCAAGUGUUUCAAGACUAAGGAUGACAUUGCCAAGCACAUGAAGAUCCACUUUUGAGGUGGUGUGUUGUGUGGACCGGUGUGGCCACACCCGUGCCUGUGGGAGUGUGUGGUGGUGGUGGUGGUGGUGGUGGUUUUUCUCUUUUCUUUCUUCUCUCGCGUUGCCUCACCCCGACCUUGGCCUGACCUUCCAGCCUUUGGUCCUCGGCACAGCCAGGUGAAGCACGCCUUCAGUGGGAACCGGUCUGUCUCCCGAGGGUGUCACCAAGGCUCUCCAUCUCCAGCAGGACGUGGCGGGGGUCAAGAUGGCAGGCAAGCAAGACGUUGGUGUGUGUUGGAUGCCUGCGUGACUCCAUGCUACGCUGGCCUGCCACACCACAGGAUACAUUGAUGAUAGUGUCACCUCAGCACACACUACACUGUUGUCAUGUGUGGCAGUGCCUGUAAGGACACCACACCCCUGUGGUCUGUUAUUGUAAGGAGUGUGUUUGUUGUAUACUGGGAUACAAGGUAGAAGGAAGCAGUGUACACCUAGUUUUGUACUUGUUGUAUUGUGAGGGGUGUGUACUUUGUGUAUUGUGGGUUGUAAGACUAAGUAGUAGUAGUUUACACCUAGCCUUGUGUAUCUUGUGAGGGGUGUGGACUUUGUUGUAUUGGAGUUUGCAGGCAGUGUUGUAUGUACUGUGUUUGUGUUGUGAGGUGUAAGGAGAGCAGACACUUGUAGUGUGUGUGUGUGUGUGUGUGUGUGUGUGUGUGUGUGUGUGUGUGUGUGUGUGUGUGUGUGUGUGUGUGUGUGUGUGUGAGUGAGUCCCUUGAUCAAAUCACUGCCUGGAGUUUCAUUAGGCAACUGGUGUUUGUGUAAUUGUAAAGUAUCUUUUUAUCUCUAUAACCAUUAACCAGUGCUGCUUUAAUGAUGUUUUUGACAUAAUUGGUUUACAUCUUAAUAAUAUUUUUAGCCACAUAUAUUUACAGUCUAAAAUGUCUGUUUCAAUGAGGCAUAUCUGAGCACUGGUUAACCCCUUCAGUACUGGGACACAUUUUUACCUUGAGUUUUGGAUAAGAUUAGACAAUUUCACUAACAUUAGGAAUGGUCUAUGAAGGCCACAAGAUUGAUAACAACAGUCUUCUUUAUUUUAAUGUGUUGCUGUAUAAAAUCAGCAAAUAGUGAGCAGAAUGAAUAUGGAAAUGUUUUGUGGUACUGAAGGGGUUAAGUGUACCUGUGUGUGAUGACUGAUUCCUUCCAAGGCACCUGUAGAUCUGACUGUACUGAGAUGUGAAGUUGUGACUAAUAUAUUUUUGUUGACCA